AGUGUGGACGCCAGUCUGCAUGGAGCCGGCCUUGAAAUACCACCCUUUAAUGUUUGAUGUUCUAACGUGGACCCGUAAUCCGGGUUGCGGACAGUGUCUGGUGGGUAGUUUGACUGGGGCGGUCUCCUCCUAAAGAGUAACGGAGGAGCACGAAGGUUGGCUAAUCCUGGUCGGACAUCAGGAGGUUAGUGCAAUGGCAUAAGCCAGCUUGACUGCGAGCGUGACGGCGCGAGCAGGUGCGAAAGCAGGUCAUAGUGAUCCGGUGGUUCUGAAUGGAAGGGCCAUCGCUCAACGGAUAAAAGGUACUCCGGGGAUAACAGGCUGAUACCGCCCAAGAGUUCAUAUCGACGGCGGUGUUUGGCACCUCGAUGUCGGCUCAUCACAUCCUGGGGCUGAAGUAGGUCCCAAGGGUAUGGCUGUUCGCCAUUUAAAGUGGUACGCGAGCUGGGUUUAGAACGUCGUGAGACAGUUCGGUCCCUAUCUGCCGUGGGCGCUGGAGAACUGAGGGGGGCUGCUCCUAGUACGAGAGGACCGGAGUGGACGCAUCACUGGUGUUCGGGUUGUCAUGCCAAUGGCACUGCCCGGUAGCUAAAUGCGGAAGAGAUAAGUGCUGAAAGCAUCUAAGCACGAAACUUGCCCCGA
rnacentral:rRNA from 1 species